GUUAGGUGGAAAGCUCCCUUCACUCUACAGCCUUUACAGAGAUUCCAAGGACCUAAAAGAAGGUAAUGACUGCCACAGGGCUGUGCCACUUACUCACUCUGUAAUACCUUACUCUGAAAAUAGAUCAGUUGAUUUCAUGAUACCAAUACAUACUCAAUAUGUUCCUUAUUCUGUUUAUGGGGAAAAAAAACAAUUACAACUAAAGUAAAAAACUUAAGAGGAAAAAAUCUUUGUUGUGAGUGACCAUCAUGAUGACUGCUUUGAAGGUGUGACCAGUCCAUUUCUAUGCAAGAUGUGGACCAGUCACACAAUUUGGAUUUUGAUGGCCCUGUUAAGCUCCUUCAUAGACCAAGAACAAACUUACUUUCAGUAUGGAUGAUUUAUUUUAGACAAAAGGAAAUAAAGGGAGAGUGA